rnacentral:rRNA from 1 species
AACGAACGCUGGCGGCAGGCUUAACACAUGCAAGUCGAACGCCCCGCAAGGGGAGUGGCAGACGGGUGAGUAACACGUGGGAACAUGCCCAAAGGUACGGAAUAUUCUCGGGAAACUGAGAGCAAUACCGUAUGUGCCCGAAAGGGGAAAGAUUUAUCGCCUUUGGAUUGGCCCGCGUCGGAUUAGCUAGUUGGUGGGGUAAAAGCCUACCAAGGCGACGAUCCGUAGCUGGUCUGAGAGGACGACCAGCCACACUGGGACUGAGACACGGCCCAGACUCCUACGGGAGGCAGCAGUGGGGAUUCUUGGACAAUGGGCGCAAGCCUGAUCCAGCCAUGCCGCGUGGAUGAUGAAGGCCCUAGGGUUGUAAAAUCCUUUCGUUGGGGACGAUAAUGACGGUACCCAAAGAAGAAGCUCCGGCUAACUUCGUG